UACGAAGGGGGCUAGCGUUGCUCGGAAUCACUGGGCGUAAAGCGCGCGUAGGCGGCCUUGCAAGUUAGAGGUGAAAGCCCGGAGCUCAACUCCGGAACUGCCUUUAAAACUGCAUAGCUUGAAUCCGGGAGAGGUGAGUGGAAUUCCGAGUGUAGAGGUGAAAUUCGUAGAUAUUCGGAAGAACACCAGUGGCGAAGGCGGCUCACUGGACCGGUAUUGACGCUGAGGUGCGAAAGCGUGGGGAGCAAACAGG
rnacentral:rRNA from 1 species